rnacentral:rRNA from 1 species
CGGCGGACGGCUGAGUAACACGUAGGAACGUACCCCAAAGUGAGGGAUAAGCACCAGAAAUGGUGUCUAAUACCGCAUGUGGCCUUAGGGCUAAAGCUCCGGCGCUUUGGGAACGGCCUGCGUAUGAUUAGUUUGUUGGUGAGGUAAUGGCUCACCAAGACUACGAUCAUUAGCUGGUCUGAGAGGAUGAUCAGCCAGACUGGGACUGAGAACGGCCCAG